rnacentral:lncRNA from 1 species
CCCCACUGUACCUCUUUGUUGUUCCACAAAGAUCUGUUUGUUUGAUCUUUCCAUCUCUUCAUUGUUUCAGUCUAAACUGAGAGACAGGGAUGAAGGCAGAGGAGGAACUGAAACCAAACCUUCAGAGGAAUUUCUGACCGUUAUAUCAGCUAGCACAGACCCCUGGUUUUGCCACUUCUCGGUGAUUCCACAGUGCGGUACCCGCUCUGGUAGUUGCAUGAUGGAUGUGGCCUGAGAGGCUUCCCUGAGGAGGUGAGCUGACUGAGGGAAGGGACAAAGGUCCCAACAACAAAACAGAAGGAAGCCUGAGACUCUUUUUACAGAAGGGGAAGAACUCUGGACAAUUUUUUCCUGGAGUCCUGCUUUUUCUUCUGGUCCAGUUUAAUGGAGAAACAGUAAAUGUCCACUCAGAUUUCU